CCUGGUUGAUUUUGCCAGUAGUUAUAUACUUGUCUCAAAGAUUAAGCUAUAUAUAUCUAAGUAUAAGCACUUAUACUAUGAAACUACAAAUGGCUUAUUAAAUCAGUUAUAGUUUAUUUGAUAGUAUCUUUAUCUAGAUAACUGUGGUAAUUCUAGAGCUAAUAUAUACUAAAAACCUUGACUUUAGAAGGGAUAUAUUUAUUAGAUAAAAAACCAAUACCCUUCAGGGCUCCUUGGUGAUUCAUAAUAACUUAAUGAAUUGUAUAGCCUUAUGCCAACAAUAGUUCAUUUAAAUUUCUGCCCUAUCAACUUUUGAUGGUAAGAUAGUGGCUUACUAUAGUCUCAACAGGUAAUGAGGAAUUAGGGUUCUAUUCUAGAGAGGGAGCCUAAGAAACAACUACUAUAUCUAAGGAAGGCAGUAGGUGUAUAAAUUACCUAAUUCUGAUUCAGAGAGGUAGUGACAAUAAAUACUAAUAUAGGGCUCUUUCAGGUCUUAUAAUUGGAAUAAGUACAAUCUAAAUCCCUUAAUGAGGAAUAAUUAGAGGGUAAGUCUAGUGCCAACAACUAUAGUAAUUCCAGCUCCAAUAGUGUAUAUUAAAGUUGUUAUUGUUAAAAAGCUUAUAGUUGAACCUUGGACCUAGUUGAUCUAUCCUCCUAAUUGAGUAUACAGAUUCAGUUAAGUCUUUUCUUCUGGGGAGCCUUAUGUCCUUUACUAGGUAUAAUGGGGAACCAGGACUUUUACCUUGAAAAAAUUAGAGUGUUCAAAGUAAGCCUUUGCUUAAAUAUAUUAGUAUAGAAUAAUAGAAUAGGAUAUUGGUUCUAUUUUGUUGGUUUCUAGGAUUAUUAUAAUGAUUAAUAGGGAUAAUCAAGGGUAUCUAUAUUCAAUUGUCAAAGGUGAAAUUCUUGGAUUUAUUGAAGAUAAACUAUUAUAAAAGCAUUUGCCAAGGAUAUUUUCAUUAAUUAAUGAAUGAAAGUUAGGGGAUUAAAGACAAUCAGAUACUAUCAUAGUCUUAACCAUAAACUAUACUAACUAGGGAUUGGAUAAUGGUUUUUUUAUACCUUAUUUAGUACUUUAUAAGAAAUCAAAGUAUUUGGGCUUGGGGGGGAGUAUGGUUGUAAGGCUGAAACUUAAAGAAAUUAAUGGAAGGACAUCAUAAGGCAUGGAGCUUAUAGCUUAAUUUGACUUAACAUAGGGAAACUCACCAGGUCUAGACAUGCUUAGGAUUAAUAGAUUGAUAGCUCUUUCUUGAUUAUAUGGGUAGUGGUAUAUAGCUAUUCUUAAUUAGUAAGUUUUAACCUUGUUUUCUUUAUACAAAAUCUUUUAACUAAUGUUUUUAUAGGUGGAGUGAUUUGUCUACUUAAUUAUAAUAACAAACAAGACCUUGACUUGCUAAAUAGCCCGAUUGACUUUUGUUGGUUGCUGGCUUCUUAGAGGGACUUUUGGCUUAAACCAAUGGAAGUACAAGGCAAUAAUAGGUCUAUAAUACCCUUAGAUAUUCUGGGCUAUAUAUAUAC
rnacentral:rRNA from 1 species